UUAAAGUGAUAUAAUUAUGUUAGAAUAAUUUCCUUCUAAAAAAGGGAAGCCGGUGAAAAUCCGGCGCGGGGACGCCACCGUAACCGGGGACAAAAUCCACUUAAAGCCACUGGGACUAUCCUGGGAAGGCGUGGAGAGUAGGUUGAUCCGGAAGCCGGGAUACCUUUUUUAGAAGGAAAGUUUAC
rnacentral:ncRNA from 2 species